CCUACGGGAGACAGCAGUGAGGAAUAUUGGUCAAUGGACGAGAGUCUGAACCAGCCAAGUAGCGUGAAGGAUGACUGCCCUAUGGGUUGUAAACUUCUUUUAUAUGGGAAUAAAACGUUCCACGUGUGGGAUUUUGUAUGUACCAUAUGAAUAAGGAUCGGCUAACUCCGUGCCAGCAGCCGCGGUAAUACGGAGGAUCCGAGCGUUAUCCGGAUUUUUUGGGUUUAAAGGGAGCGUAGGUGGAUUGUUAAGUCAGUUGUGAAAGUUUGCGGCUCAACCGUAAAAUUGCAGUUGAAACUGGCAGUCUUGAGUACAGUAGAGGUGGGCGGAAUUCGUGGUGUAGCGGUGAAAUGCUUAGAUAUCACGAAUAACUCCGAUUGCGAAGGCAGCUCACUGGACUGCAACUGACACUGAGGCUCGAAAGUGUGGGUAUCAAACAGGAUUAGAUACCCUUGUAGUC
rnacentral:rRNA from 1 species